CAAAUUCUUGUCCCUUUGGUUCGAGUACGAGUGUGAGAUACUGAUGCACCAAUAAAUGAAUUUCACAGGUGAUUUUUAUUGCGAUCAGGAUAGGUGCUUUCGUAAAUAAAAUAGCAACAAAUUAUAUUGAUCUUUAAGCAGAAGAUGAGGAAAACUGACACGGUUUCCCUAUUGACCAGUAAAUUUUAAGACAUGGGAAAAAUGUAGCUUGAAA